GAGGCACCGAUCCCUGCUCCGUUGUUGCCCGGAGGCCCACCUUGGCCUCAGGCUCUGGACGCCAGUGCCU
ensembl:misc_RNA